rnacentral:rRNA from 1 species
UAGGGAAUCUUCGGCAAUGGACGAAAGUCUGACCGAGCAACGCCGCGUGAGUGAAGAAGGUUUUCGGAUCGUAAAACUCUGUUGUUAGAGAAGAACAAGGGUGAGAGUAACUGUUCACCCCUUGACGGUAUCUAACCAGAAAGCCACAGCUAACUACGUGCUAG